UAAAAAGAAGCAAUAUUGUAUUCAGUUUCGACCUGAAAGAAGAAAUUAAUUAUUUCCUUUUUAA
rnacentral:tRNA from 1 species